AUUGAACGCUGGCGGCAUGCCUUACACAUGCAAGUCGAACGGCAGCAUAGAGAGCUUGCUCUCUGAUGGCGAGUGGCGAACGGGUGAGUAAAGCAUCGGAACGUACCGUGUAGUGGGGGAUAACGUAGCGAAAGUUACGCUAAUACCGCAUACGCACUGAGGUGGAAAGCAGGGGGAUCGCAAGACCUUGCGCUAUACGAGCGGCCGAUGUCAGAUUAGCUAGUUGGUAGGGUAAAGGCCUACCAAGGCGACGAUCUGUAGCGGGUCUGAGAGGAUGAUCCGCCACACUGGGACUGAGACACGGCCCAGACUCCUACGGGAGGCAGCAGUGGGGAAUUUUGGACAAUGGGGGCAACCCUGAUCCAGCCAUGCCGCGUGAGUGAAGAAGGCCUCGG
rnacentral:rRNA from 1 species